rnacentral:rRNA from 1 species
UGAGGAAUCUUCCACAAUGGGCGAAAGCCUGAUGGAGCAACGCCGCGUGCAGGAUGAAGGCCUUAGGGUUGUAAACUGCUUUUAUGAGUGAAGAAUUUGACGGUAACUCAUGAAUAAGCACCGGCUAACUACGUGCCAGCAGCCGCGGUCAUACGUAGGGUGCAAGCAUUAUCCGGAGUGACUGGGCGUAAAGAGUUGCGUAGGUGGUUAUAUAAGUGAAUAGUGAAAUCUGGCGGCUCAACCGUACAGGCUAUUAUUCAAACUGUAUAACUCGAGAAUGGUAGAGGUAACUGGAAUUUCUUGUGUAGGAGUGAAAUCCGUAGAUAUAAGAAGGAACACCAAUGGCGUAGGCAGGUUACUGGACCAUUUCUGACACUGAGGCACGAAAGCGUGGGGAGCGAACC